rnacentral:rRNA from 1 species
AACGAACGCUGGCGGCAGGCCUAACACAUGCAAGUCGAACGCCCUAGCAAUAGGGAGUGGCGCACGGGUGAGUAACGCGUGGGAACGUGCCUUUCAGUCUGGAAUAACUGCGGGAAACUGCAGCUAAUACCGGAUAUUCUCUACGGAGGAAAGAUUUAUCGCUGAAAGAUCGGCCCGCGUUAGAUUAGGUAGUUGGUGGGGUAAUGGCCUACCAAGCCUACGAUCUAUAGCUGGUCUGAGAGGAUGAUCAGCCACACUGGAACUGAGACACGGUCCAGACUCCUACGGGAGGCAGCAGUGGGGAAUAUUGGACAAUGGGCGCAAGCCUGAUCCAGCCAUGCCGCGUGAGUGACGAAGGCCUUAGGGUUGUAAAGCUCUUUUGUCAGGGAAGAUAAUGACUGUACCGGGAGAAUAAGCCCCGGCUAACUUCGUGCCAGCCGCCGCCGUAA